UAGUUCCUACGGGAGGCAGCAGUGGGGGAUAUUGGACAAUGGGGGAAACCCUGAUCCAGCGAUGCCGCGUGAGGGAAGAAGGUUUUCGGAUUGUAAACCUCUGUGGAGGGGGACGAUAAUGACGGUACCCCUUUAGGAAGCCACGGCUAACUACGUGCCAGCAGCCGCGGUAAUACGUAGGGAGCAAGCGUUAUCCGGAUUUAUUGGGUGUAAAGGGUGCGUAGAUGGAUAAACAAGUUGUUUGUGAAAUACCUCGGCUCAACUGAGGAACUGCAAGCAAAACUGUAUAUCUUGAUUACUGGAGG
rnacentral:rRNA from 1 species